rnacentral:rRNA from 1 species
UACGUAGGGGGCAAGCGUUGUCCGGAUUUAUUGGGCGUAAAGAGCGUGUAGGCGGCUUUACAGGUCCGUUGUGAAAACUCGAGGCUCAACCUCGAGACGCCGGUGGAAACCGUAAAGCUAGAGUCCGGAAGAGGAGAGUGGAAUUCCUGGUGUAGGUGAAAUGCGCAGAUAUCAGGAGGAACACCCGUGGCGAAAGCGGCUCUCUGGGACGGUACUGACGCUGAGACGCGAAAGCGUGGGGAGCAAACAGG